GAUGAACGCUGGCGGCGUGCUUAACACAUGCAAGUCGAACGGGAAUUACUUUAUUGAAACUUCGGUCGAUUUAAUUUAAUUCUAGUGGCGGACGGGUGAGUAACGCGUGGGUAACCUGCCUUAUACAGGGGGAUAACAGUCAGAAAUGGCUGCUAAUACCGCAUAAGCGCACAGAGCUGCAUGGCUCGGUGUGAAAAACUCCGGUGGUAUAAGAUGGACCCGCGUUGGAUUAGCUUGUUGGUGGGGUAACGGCCCACCAAGGCGACGAUCCAUAGCCGGCCUGAGAGGGUGAACGGCCACAUUGGGACUGAGACACGGCCCAGACUCCUACGGGAGGCAGCAGUGGGGAAUAUUGCACAAUGGGGGAAACCCUGAUGCAGCGACGCCGCGUAAAGGAAGAAGUAUCUCGGUAUGUAAACUUCUAUCAGCAGGGAAGAUAGUGACGGUACCUGACUAAGAAGCCCCGGCUAACUACGUG
rnacentral:rRNA from 1 species